AAUGUUUCAAUGAUGAUUUCAUAGUUCAACUGACAAUAAAUUGAUGACAUACUAAAUAUGUCUUUCGCUCCUAGCUGAACGACCAU